rnacentral:rRNA from 1 species
AGCGGCGGACGGGUGAGUAACGCGUGGGUAACCUGCCUUAUACAGGGGGAUAACAGUUAGAAAUGACUGCUAAUACCGCAUAAGCGCACAGUACCGCAUGGUAGUGUGUGAAAAACUCCGGUGGUAUAAGAUGGACCCGCGUCUGAUUAGCCAGUUGGCGGGGUAACGCCCACCAAAGCGACGAUCAGUAGCCGACCUGAGAGGGUGACCGGCCACAUUGGGACUGAGACACGGCCAAACUCCUACGGAAGGCAGCAG